GUGAGUCAUCGAAUCUUUGAACGCACCUUGCGCCUUCUGGCUAUUCCAGAGGGCAUGCCUGCUUGAGUAUCAUGAACACCUCAACCCUCACGGUUUUGCCGUGAUGAGCUUGGACUUUGGAGGUCUUGCCGGCCUGUGGUCGGCUCCUCUCAAAUGAAUCAGCUUGCCAGUGUUUGGUGGCAUCACAGGUGUGAUAACUAUCUACGCUUGUGGUUUUCUACCAAAUAACCUUCAGUGAUGGAGGUUCGCUGGAGCUAAUAAAUGUCUCUUCUCAGUGAGGACAGCUUUUCAAAUGUUUGAUCUCAAAUCAGGUAGGACUACCCGCUGAACUUAAGCAUAUCAAUAAGCGGAGG
rnacentral:rRNA from 1 species